rnacentral:rRNA from 1 species
AUUGAACGCUGGCGGCAUGCCUAACACAUGCAAGUCGAACGAGUGGCGGACGGGUGAGUAAUGUCUGGGAAACUGCCUGAUGGCGGGGGAUAACUACUGGAAACGGUGGCUAAUACCGCAUACCAUCGGAUGUGCCCAGAUGGGAUUAGCUUGUUGGUGGGGUAACGGCUCACCAAGGCGACGAUCCCUAGCUGGUUUGAGAGGAUGACCAGCCACACUGGAACUGAGACACGGCCCAGACUCCUACGGGAGGCAGCAGUGGGGAAUAUUGCACAAUGGGCGAAAGCCUGAUGCAGCCAUGCCGCGUGUAUGAAGAAGGCCUUCGGGUUGUAAAGUACUUUCAGCGGGGAGGCGUUACCUGCAGAAGAAGCACCGGCUAACUCCGUGCCAGCAGCCGCGGUAAUUC